rnacentral:rRNA from 1 species
UACAGAGGUCCCAAGCGUUGUUCGGAUUCACUGGGCGUAAAGGGUGCGUAGGUGGUGAGGUAAGUCGGAUGUGAAAUCUCCGGGCUCAACCCGGAAAUGGCAUUGGAAACUACUUUGCUGGAGGAUUUGAGGGGGGAUUGGAAUACUUGGUGUAGCAGUGAAAUGCGUAGAUAUCAAGUGGAACACCAGUGGCGAAGGCGAAUCCCUGGAAAAUACCUGACACUGAGGCACGAAAGCUAGGGGAGCAAACAGG